GGAUUGCAGGGUGGGAGUGGAGCCCCUUCCAGGCCACCUGUCCUCCCCACAAGGGAGGCUGAGCUGAGUAAACUUCAGUCCCUUAGUUGGCCACGAUGCCUACCAGUGCAUGCAGGCCAGAUCUCAGCUGCCAAGCUAGAGAGGACAGGGCACUGGCCUCCCUGACGUGACCUGGGAGACCAGGCAAUUCAGAAAAAUCUCAAGGAAGGCGCUUAGGGUCCUGUAUUCUACUCAAGUUUCUGUUAUGUGGAGAUAAAACAGAAACUUCGGGUUGAAUUCUUCCUGAAACACAUUGAUCUCCUCACAGUAUGACAACCAUCACUGAGUCACUCUCCAAUCAUUCAUUUUUAAUAGAACAGGGCCCCUGAACUUGGACCUCCCCAUUAGCAGCCAGGCGCCCCAGGCUGCAGUUCCCUCAUCUCGGAGUUUGCUUGUUUCCCUAUAAUUUAACUCCUUCUCCCCCAGAGGGGUAUCAGAAAAAUACUUUUCCAAUUAAAUUAGGGAACUGAUUAACAGGGUUCUGAAAAAAGCAAGUCUUGCCUUUGUUUUUCCUGGUCCGCCAAAGACAGACAGGAGCCUUUCCCCAUCCUCAGCCCUAUGCUCCUGCCUCGCCCUCAGCUGCUUUCUCGGGGCCAGAGUCCUUCAGUCACAACAUGCUCAAAGGCAGUCUUGCCACAGCUUUGCUCCCUUGAGCAGCAGACCCCUCGCUGCUCACACUCACCCCCUUGUCACCCCAGUGUGUGUUCAGCUGGGCUGGCAGUAUGGCCUCCACAUGUAUGGGGGCCACUCACCACCAAAAAGAACUAACACUGCAGGAGAGGCACUGGUCUCCUUGAAGUCAGAGCAAAACUAGAUAGCAGCCACAGCCACGCCCCUCUGGCUUCUUUCUGUUUAAGUUCCCAAACAAUAGCCUGUUGCUGGGGGUCCCCAAGACCACUCUCAGCUUCGAUAGAACGACUCACAGAACUGAGAAAAGCUGUUACAUUCAUGGUUAUGGUUUAUUCAGUGAAAGCAUACAGAUUAAAAUCAGCAAGGGUAAAGCAUACAGGGUCCAGAAAAGACCAGGAGCAGGCUUCCAGUUGUUUUCUCCUGGUGGAGUCAUGUAGACGGUGCUUAGUUCUCCAGUGAGGACAACACAGAGUAUUAUCAACCAGGGAAGCUCACCCGAGCCUUGGUGUUCAGGGUUGUUACUGGGAGUCAGUUUUGCUGGCUGACCUUAGUCUCCAGACCUUUCAGAGGUCAAGGUGAUACUGCAUGGCCCAAGGCCCCCAACAUAAGUCAGGUUGUUGGUAUAGACUAUCUGAGGUGGCCCAAGCUCCAGGUAAACAAAGACAAUCUUAUCAGACAAGUUAUUCCAAGGCCUUAUAAGUUACCUCCCAUGAGCCAGGCAAAGCCUUCUUUGGAAUGUGCAGGGUUUGGCCGCUCCAGACCUGCUGAGUCAACUCUUUACUUCAUAGACCUCACAAAGGGCUUAGAAGUUUUCAUUUUGUUGGUCAUUGCCUAGAAAAGUAGAAAUUGGCUAUAAAGACUUUGGCUACAAGGGGUUGGACUUUUCUUCAAAACGUUUUUUAAAAGUAUCUUUGACGGUCCUCUGUACUUUCCAUCAAAGCACAUAAUUCUUAUUAAGCAGAAGGGAUGAUAGGUUACUGAAUCAAACAUCUUUGAAAUUUACAUGAGGAAACUCAAAAAGUUUAACCCAUAUUCCACACUCAUAAUUACAGAUUUUCCCAGAAAUAUCCGUGUCACAGCCAGUCCACACUCUCCUCACCCUCUGGGUCCCUCUGCUAUCUGGCCCGAGGCUUGACAGAUAGAGGAAAGGAUAGUGUGAGCAUCUCUCAGGCUAGUGGGAUGUAGGCAGGGUUUCCCCAUCCUUCAGAGAACCAUUAAUGUUAACAGCAAAGUCCAGCAUUUUUAAAAAUAAAAUGGAAGACAAGACAAAAAUUCAGGCAUCAAGCCUGGUAGAGGUAGAUUCGGCACAACCUCUAUUUUGGUUAUGUAACUGUGUGAGUAUGAGUAACUGUGUGUGUAACUGCGUGUGUGUGAGAAUGUGUGUGUGGUGUGGGGAGUGGGUGUGUACAUGAGUGGGCUGUGUCCUUUCACGACAUGUGUUACUCCUACCACCCUUUCACUGGUUGAAGGCAGCAUGGUAUGUGGUGAAGGGUCAGACUCGAGGGCCUGGAGGCCUGGACUUGAGUCCUGGCCCCUGCAUCUUAGGAGCUCUGUGACCUUGGGCAAAUUUCUUGAUCUCAUUGGGUCUCAAUUUCUUAAAGAAUAAAUAAUAGUAACUACCUCAAGGUUAUCAUAAGAAAUGAAUUAAAACAAUUAAAUGUAAAGCAUUUAGUACCAUGUCUGACUCAGUAAGUAUCCUUUAUUUUGUUAUUUUCAUCAUUCUUAUUACUACUGCUAUUAUUGUAGAUCAUGGUCAAACGUGUUUGAGAAACACUAACUUAGAGGAUAGGAUUGACAAAGCCAAAGCCAGUGCCUUCCAUCAAGCCAGCCACAUUUUUUAAACCCCUGAAGAAUGGAUAGUGGUUUUGCACAGCCCAGACCUGAGGGAUAGAAGUCCUUUUCAGAUUUAAGUUCCCCUGAGGGCAGUGAGUGGACAUACUUACUUCCCAAAGCAAUGGCUGGCCACUUUCCCAGGCUGGAACGUUCUGCUUGUUGUGGUGUGUGUUCCCGCACCAUCUCCUAACUCAAAACCUGUCUUUGCUAAUCAAGGUUAACAUCAUCACUAACAAGACAGACUGACAUCAGGUAUCCCCCGAUACAAUGCUCUGAGAAGGACACAACAUCCCUUCUGUGGCAUUCUUGACCAAAAUGCAUGACCCAAACUGAGAGCCAUUCAACAUAAACUAGUGGUACUCUUAACAUGUGUCAAAGUUAGAGAAGACUGAGGAGCCACCAGAGAUGGAAAGAGACUAAGAGGACAAAGGCAAUCAAAUGCAAUACGAGGUGCUGCUUGGACAUUAGUGAAGAAGCUCGUGAAAUGGAAAUGAACAAAAGAAAAAAAUCAACGUCAAAUUGUUACCAAACCAAAUCUGGGUCCACUCACCCAUUCACACCCUGUGGCUGACAGUGUCUUCGUGCUCUGGCUGGGUGUCAGGCCUGUGUCUCUGAGGUGGGAGAGCCGAGUUCAGGAUAUUGGUCCAUCAGAGAACUCCAAGCUCUACAUAAUAUCAAUCGGCAAAAGCUCUCCCAGAGAUCUCCAUCUCAACGCUAGACCCAGCUCCACUCAACGACCAGCAAGCUACAGUGCUGGACACCCUAUGCCAAACAACUAGCAAGACAGGAACACAAACCCACCCAUUAGCAGAGAGGCUGCCUAAAAUCAAAAUAAGUUCACAGACACCCCAAAACACACCACUGGACGUGGUCCUGCCUACCAGAAAGACAAGAUCCAGCCUCAUCCACCAGA